GACGAACGCUGGCGGCGUGCCUAAUACAUGCAAGUUGAGCGCUGAAGGUUGGUACUUGUACCAACUGGAUGAGCAGCGAACGGGUGAGUACCGCGUGGGGAAUCUGCCUUUGAGCGGGGGACAACAUUUGGAAACGAAUGCUAAUACCGCAUAAAAACUUUAAACACAAGUUUUAAGUUUGAAAGAUGCAAUUGCAUCACUCAAAGAUGAUCCCGCGUUGUAUUAGCUAGUUGGUGAGGUAAAGGCUCACCAAGGCGAUGAUACAUAGCCGACCUGAGAGGGUGAUCGGCCACAUUGGGACUGAGACCCGGCCCAAACUCCUACGGGAGGCAGCAGUAGGGAAUCUUCGGCAAUGGACGAAAGUCUGACCGAGCAACGCCGCGUGAGUGAAGAAGGUUUUCGGAUCGUAAAACUCUGUUGGUAGAGAAGAACGUUGGUGAGAGUGGAAAGCUCAUCAAGUGACGGUAACUACCCAGAAAGGGACGGCUAACUACGUG
rnacentral:rRNA from 1 species